UACGUAGGGUGCAAGCGUUAAUCGGAAUUACUGGGCGUAAAGCGUGCGCAGGCGGUUUUGUAAGUUUGUCGUGAAAGCCCCGGGCUCAACCUGGGAAUUGCAUUUGAGACUGCGUAGCUAGGGUGCGGAAGAGGGAAGCGGAAUUUCCGGUGUAGCGGUGAAAUGCGUAGAUAUCGGAAGGAACACCAGUGGCGAAAGCGGCUUCCUGGUCCAGCACCGACGUUCAGGCACGAAAGCGUGGGGAGCAAACAGG
rnacentral:rRNA from 1 species